rnacentral:rRNA from 1 species
GUCUAUGGUCAUGCCACCCUGAACAAACCCGAUCCCAUCUGAUUUUUGGAAGCUAAGCAGGGUCGGGCCUGGUUAGUAACAGUUGGGUCUGGUUAGUACUUGCAUGGGAGACCACUCAGGAAGACCAGGUGCCGUAGGUG